UUAAGAAUCCUGGAGACUGAUGUCUGCCAUUUAUCCACAGAAAAGGCAGUGGCAGAGCAAGCUUCUCCACAUUGCCCUGCCAAUGUACAUCAGCACUGUUCUGAAAGGACCACUUGUAGGAAAGGAGAGAGUAGUUCAAGUUUCUGUGCCUGUGUCAAGCUAUUGCAUGG
ensembl:misc_RNA